rnacentral:miRNA from 1 species
GCUGGAUUAUUGACCCGUUCUGUGCAGAUCCAGUUUUUUUACAAUUAUUUUAACAAUUAUAUAUUGUUAAAAUAAUUGUAAAAAAACUGGAUCCGCACAGAACGGGUCAAUAACCCA